rnacentral:rRNA from 1 species
UACAGAGGGGGCAAGCGUUAUUCGGAAUUAUUGGGCGUAAAGGGCGCGUAGGCGGCCGCCUAAGUCAGACGUGAAAUCCCUCGGCUCAACCGGGGAACUGCGUCUGAUACUGGGUGGCUUGAGUUUGGGAGAGGGAUGCGGAAUUCCAGGUGUAGCGGUGAAAUGCGUAGAUAUCUGGAGGAACACCGGUGGCGAAGGCGGCAUCCUGGACCAAUACUGACGCUGAGGAGCGAAAGCCAGGGGAGCAAAGCGGG